UACGAAGGGGGCUAGCGUUGUUCGGAAUCACUGGGCGUAAAGGGCGCGUAGGCGGCUUUGUAAGUCGGGGGUGAAAGCCUGUGGCUCAACCACAGAAUUGCCUUCGAUACUGUAGAGCUUGAGACCGGAAGAGGUAAGUGGAACUGCGAGUGUAGAGGUGAAAUUCGUAGAUAUUCGCAAGAACACCAGUGGCGAAGGCGGCUUACUGGUCCGGUUCUGACGCUGAGGCACGAAAGCGUGGGGAGCAAACAGG
rnacentral:rRNA from 1 species